UACGUAGGGUGCGAGCGUUAAUCGGAAUUACUGGGCGUAAAGCGUGCGCAGGCGGUGAUGUAAGACAGGUGUGAAAUCCCGGGCUUAACCUGGGAACUGCAUUUGUGACUGCAUCGCUGGAGUGCGGCAGAGGGGGAUGGAAUUCCGCGUGUAGCAGUGAAAUGCGAGAUAUGCGGAGGAACACCGAUGGCGAAGGCAAUCCCCUGGGCCUGCACUGACGCUCAUGCACGAAAAGCGUGGGGAGCAAACAGG
rnacentral:rRNA from 1 species